rnacentral:tRNA from 1 species
AGACCCUGACACGCUUUCAACGUAUAUCGAUGAGCUUGCAACUCAACAUGAACUUCACUACAGAGUC